rnacentral:rRNA from 1 species
GAUGAACGCUGGCGGCGUGCCUAAUACAUGCAAGUCGAGCGAACAGACGAGGAGCUUGCUCCUCUGACGUUAGCGGCGGACGGGUGAGUAACACGUGGAUAACCUACCUAUAAGACUGGGAUAACUUCGGGAAACCGGAGCUAAUACCGGAUAAUAUAUUGAACCGCAUGGUUCAAUAGUGAAAGACGGUUUUGCUGUCACUUAUAGAUGGAUCCGCGCCGCAUUAGCUAGUUGGUAAGGUAACGGCUUACCAAGGCAACGAUGCGUAGCCGACCUGAGAGGGUGAUCCGCCACACUGGAACUGAGACACGGUCCAGACUCCUACGGGAGGCAGCAGUCGGGAAUCUUCCGCAAUGGGCGAAAGCCUGACGGAGCAACGCCGCGUGAGUGAUGAAGGUCUUCGGAUCGUAAAACUCUGUUAUUAGGGAAGAACAAAUGUGUAAGUAACUAUGCACGUCUUGACGGUACCUAAUCAGAAAGCCACGGCUAACUACGUG